UGGGGAAUCUUGCGCAAUGGCCGAAAGGCUGACGCAGCGACGCCGCGUGUGGGAUGAAGCAUUUCGGUGUGUAAACCACUGUUGCCCGGGACGAACAGCUUCUUUCGAGGAGCCUGACGGUACCGGGUGAGGAAGCACCGGCUAACUCCGUGCCAGCAGCCGCGGUAAUACGGAGGGUGCGAGCGUUGUCCGGAAUCACUGGGCGUAAAGGGCGCGUAGGCGGCGCGAGUAGUCAACGGUGAAAGCCCGGGGCUCAACCCCGGGUCGGCCGUCGAUACUCUCGUGCUUGAGCACUGUAGAGGCAGGUGGAAUUCCGGGUGUAGCGGUGGAAUGCGUAGAGAUCCGGAAGAACACCGGUGGCGAAGGCGGCCUGCUGGGCAGUAGCUGACGCUGAAGAACGAAAGCUAGGGGAGCAAAC
rnacentral:rRNA from 1 species